GGAGGGGGCUAGCGUUGUUCAGAAUUACUGGGCGUAAAGGGCGCGUAGGCGGCCUGCCAAGUCAGGGGUGAAAGGCCCGGGCUCAACCCGGGAACUGCCCUUGAAACUGGCAAGCUAGAGUCCGAGAGAGGAUGGCGGAAUUCCCAGUGUAGAGGUGAAAUUCGUAGAUAUUGGGAAGAACACCGGUGGCGAAGGCGGCCAUCUGGCUCGGUACUGACGCUGAGGCGCGAAAGCGUGGGGAGCAAACAGGAUUAGAUACCCUGGUAGUCCACGCCGUAAACGAUGUGUGCUAGACGUUGGAGGUCUUAGGCCUUCGGUGUCGCAGCUAACGCGUUAAGCACACCGCCUGGGGGAGUACGGCCGCAAGGUUA
rnacentral:rRNA from 1 species